AGAGUUUGAUCAUGGCUCAGAUUGAACGCUGGCGGCAGGCCUAACACAUGCAAGUCGAGCGGUAGAGAGAAGCUUGCUUCUCUUGAGAGCGGCGGACGGGUGAGUAAUGCCUAGGAAUCUGCCUGGUAGUGGGGGAUAACGCUCGGAAACGGACGCUAAUACCGCAUACGUCCUACGGGAGAAAGCAGGGGACCUUCGGGCCUUGCGCCAUCAGAUGAGCCUAGGUCGGAUUAGCUAGUUGGUGAGGUAAUGGCUCACCAAGGCGACGAUCCGUAACUGGUCUGAGAGGAUGAUCAGUCACACUGGAACUGAGACACGGUCCAGACUCCUACGGGAGGCAGCAGUGGGGAAUAUUGGACAAUGGGCGAAAGCCUGAUCCAGCCAUGCCGCGUGUGUGAAGAAGGUCUUCGGAUUGUAAAGCACUUUAAGUUGGGAGGAAGGGCAGUAAAUUAAUACUUUGCUGUUUUGACGUUACCGACAGAAUAAGCACCGGCUAACUCUGUGCCAGCAGCCGCGGUAAUACAGAGGGUGCAAGCGUUAAUCGGAAUUACUGGGCGUAAAGCGCGCGUAGGUGGUUCGUUAAGUUGGAUGUGAAAUCCCCGGGCUCAACCUGGGAACUGCAUUCAAAACUGACGAGCUAGAGUAUGGUAGAGGGUGGUGGAAUUUCCUGUAGCGGUGAAAUGCGUAGAUAUAGGAAGGAACACCAGUGGCGAAGGCGACCACCUGGACUGAUACUGACACUGAGGUGCGAAAGCGUGGGGAGCAAACAGGAUUAGAUACCCUAGUAGUCC
rnacentral:rRNA from 1 species